rnacentral:misc_RNA from 1 species
CCGAGUUUACAACUCCCAAACCCCUUGUGAACAUACCACUUGUUGCCUCGGCGGAUCAGCCCGCUCCCGGUAAAACGGGACGGCCCGCCAGAGGACCCCUAAACUCUGUUUCUAUAUGUAACUUCUGAGUAAAACCAUAAAUAAAUCA